rnacentral:lncRNA from 1 species
UCAUGGAAGAGGGAAAUAUGCUGCUAGAUACUGAUGUUGAUUGCAACGACUCCAUGACAUUGUAAGUUGGUUAAUGGAACAAUUUUGAGCUUACAUAUAUUAUGAUGACAUCUUUCUUGGAACUCGCAGUGGUAGAGAAUCUGUUGUUUGCAUAGGCAAAAAAUUAUAGAGGCCAACAUUGGCCAUAAUAUCCCCUUUCGCUUUGAGAACUGAUGAUGCAUAACAAGAGGCAAAUAUUUGUAGGCUCGAAACCAUGACCUUGGUCCUCUCUGCAGCCUCAGUAUUCAAAUUUAGAUUUUCUUUGUAAUAAGUCGGUAUUUUGCCACCUUAUAGAUGGCCUACCAUUAAGUAUCAUAUGCUCCAAAGCUAUAUUUUGUUGUCGCAUCGCUGCUUUAGUAUUCUUCGCUUGCAUAGCUAGAUCAACAGUGCAACUUACACCAGGGGCAAUCCAUGUGAGAUGACACCAUUGCUAAUACAUCUCCCAACGAGUUCACCUUUUCCCUCUCAUAUGGAAGCAGCAUACACCAUGGACAAUCUAUGUGCUGUCCCAGUAGGAAGUACUGAGCCCCCAACUAAAAUCGCCGAACAUUCAGUCUGAAUCAUAAACGGUGGACCCUUUCCUGGAUUCAUAAAUUUGGUCAGGUCGAGAGCGCAAGAUUUCGACUUUAGUUCUUGGAGAUGAUGAAAGAAUCUCAGUGCCUUUUAAUUAUUUACAUCUCAGUGCCCAACCCGAUUAUUAUCAGACUGUAAACUGUGUCUUUGAGUUGCGUGUAGGUUAUUUGAAUGUAUUGAAUUUCUACAGUAAUAUUAAGAUCCAAAUUACCAAUUUUUGUAGGUAACGAGGGGAUACCGCAAUGGACAAGGCAGAAAUCUUGUUCAGAGGGACAAUGCCCACGGGUGACUGCGGUGUGAGCUGGUGUUGUCCUGUCAUGGCAAUAGGGACGCAGAGGCAAGGUGGAGGCCAGAGAUGGCAUGGAGAAAAAUUAUGACGAGCAAAGCAGUGACAUUGUACAGUAACACGGUCAUGUGUGUGGCCUCUGCGCAGCAGCGACAGGUAGCCAUCGGAGCAAGGACAACGGCGCACACACAUGUUUAUGAUGCUGCUCGAGGCCACAGGGCCAACCAGGAUUUGUUAUUCCUUCAAAGUGAUAUGAAAACGAAGAUUCUACUUGUAUAACUAAAGUUUGAU